AAAUAAAAUUCAUUUUAAAUGAAAAGUUUAUUAAAAUCAGAUUUUUUUCCAAUUAUAAAGCCCUCACGUGAAUGAAUUUUCCAAACCCUCAUGCGAAGAAGACCAUCUCCAAGCCGACCAUCAAUUUGUGCCAGUCACCAACACCGCCCCCUGGUGCCCAUCUCUUUAGUACUCCAGCGCCGCCACAACCUCCUCUACCAGACGGUGACACCUCCUAUGCCACAACCUCUUCAAUUUGUGCCCGUCAUCUCCAAUCCACCGCAACCUCUUCAAUCCAUGCAUGUCACCUCCUCUGCCAGUAACUCUUUUGUUACUUCUCUCUUUCUCUCUCUUUGGCACGUUGUUCUCUCUCUUUCUCGCAACUUCAUGGGCCAAACUAGGUGGCGAUUUGAACUUGGAACCUCUUGUCGACAGGAACAUAUAGGUGUCAGUUGAGCUAAGCUCAUGUUGGCAGAAUUUUCAUUUUCCUAUGCUACUUGUUCUCUUUAACGACUUUUGUUUUCAUUUUUCCUCGCUGUGUAUGUUUUAUCAUACGAUAAUUGAUUACUUUGUCUAUGCUAAUUUAAUGCUUUAAUUACUAAA